GCGGCGCACGGCUCAGUAAUACGCGGUCAACCUACCCUGGGGACCGGGAUAACCUCGGGAAACUGAGGCUAAUCCCGGAUAGGUGUGGGGUGCUGAAAUGCCCUCACGCCAAAAGUAGGCGGGAAAUGGACCGCUGAGGCCCCAGGAUGGGACCGCGGCCUAUCAGGUAGUAGGUGGGGUAACGGCCCACCUAGCCUACGACGGGUACGGGCCCUGAGAGGGGGAGCCCGGAGAUGGGCACUGAGACAAGGGUCUAGGCCCUAAGGGGUGCAGCAGGCGCGAAGAUUCCGCAAUGCCCGAAAGGGCGACGGAGUGAACCCGAGUGCCACCCGCUGAGGGUGGCUGUUCCCCUGUGUAAAAAGCAGGGGGUAGAAAGGGGAGGGCAAGGCUGGUGGCAGCCGCCGCGGUAAAACCAGCUCCCCGAGGGGUUCCCACGCAUACUGGGCCUAAAGCGUCCGUAGCCGGCCCUGCAAGUCUGCAGUUAAAUCCGCCUGUAGACAGGCGGGCUGCUGCAGAUACUGCAGGGCUAGGGAGCGGGAGGAGCCGGGGGUAUUCCCGGGGGAGCGGUAAAAUGCGUAGAUCCCGGGAGGACCACCAGUGGCGAAGGCGCCCGGCUUGAACGCGUCCGACGGUGAGGGACGAAAGCUGGGGGAGCAAACCGGAUUAGAUACCCGGGUAGUCCCAGCCGUAAACGAUGCCGGCUAGGUGCUGGCCAAGGUUUCGGCCUUGGCCAGUGUCGAAGCGAAGGCAUUAAGCCGGCCGCCUGAGGAGUACGGCCGCAAGGCUGAAACUUGAAGGAAUUGACGGGGGGGCACCACAAGGGGUGAAUGCCUGCGGCUUAAUUGGACUCAACGCCGGGAAUCUUACCGGGGGCGACAGCAGGAUGAAGGUCAGGCUGAAGACCUUACCAGACGCGCUGAGGGGUGGUGCAUGGCCGUCGCCAGCUCGUGCCGUGAGGUGUCCUGUUAAGUCAGGCAACGGGCGAGACCCCCGCCCCUAGUUGCCAGCGGCCUCCUUCGGGAGGGACCGGGCAAACUAGGGGGACCGCCUCCGAAGAGGAGGAGGAAGGUGGGGGCUACGGCAGGUCAGUAUGCCCCUAAUCCCCCGGGCCGCACGCGGGCUGCAAUGGGCGGGACAGCGGGAUGCGACCCCGAGAGGGGGAGCUAAUCCCUCAAACCCGCUCGUAGUUGGGAUCGAGGGCU
rnacentral:rRNA from 1 species